rnacentral:rRNA from 1 species
UACGGAGGAUGCGAGCGUUAUCCGGAUUUACUGGGCGUAAAGCGUGCGCAGGCGGCCCGUUAAGACAGGUGUGAAAUCCCUGGGCUCAACCUAGGAAUUGCGCUUGUGACUGGCGGGCUCGAGUACGGUAGAGGGGGGUGGAAUUCCUGGUGUAGCAGUGAAAUGCGUAGAGAUCAGGAGGAACACCGAUGGCGAAGGCAGCCCCCUGGGCCUGUACUGACGCUCAUGCACGAAAGCGUGGGGAGCAAACAGG